UUGUCUCAAAGAUUAAGCCAUGCAUGUCUCAGUACAAGCCAAAUUAAGGUGAAACCGCGAAAGGCUCAUUAAAUCAGUUAUGGUUCCUUAGAUUGUACCCACAUUUACUUGGAUAACUGUGGUAAUUCUAGAGCUAAUACAUGCAAACAGAGUCCCGACCGGAGACGGAAGGGACGCUUUUAUUAGAUCAAAACCAAUCGGUGACGGGCUUCGGCUCGUCAUCGUACAACUUGGUGACUCUGAAUAACUUUAUGCUGAUCGCACGGUCUCGCACCGGCGACGCAUCUUUCAAAUGUCUGCCUUAUCAACUGUCGAUGGUAGGUUCUGCGCCUACCAUGGUUGUAACGGGUAACGGGGAAUCAGGGUUCGAUUCCGGAGAGGGAGCCUGAGAAACGGCUACCACAUCCAAGGAAGGCAGCAGGCGCGCAAAUUACCCACUUCCGGCACGGAGAGGUAGUGACGAAAAAUAACGAUACGGGACUCAUCCGAGGCCCCGUAAUCGGAAUGAGUACACUCUAAAUCCUUUAACCAGGAUCAAUUGGAGGGCAAGUCUGGUGCCAGCAGCUGCGGUAAUUCCAGCUCCAAUAGCGUAUAUUAAAGUUGUUGCGGUUAAAAAGCUCGUAGUCGAAUUUGUGUCCCGCGCCGCCGGUUCAUCGCUCGCGGUGUUAACUGGCGUGUCGCGGGACGUCCUGCCGGUGGGCUUAGCUCGCAAGGGCGGCCCAACUCAAUCCCGUCGUGGUGCUCUUCACUGAGUGUCGAGGCGGGCCGGCACGUUUACUUUGAACAAAUUAGAGUGCUUAAAGCAGGCUAAAAUUUUGCCUGAAUAUUCUGUGCAUGGAAUAAUGAAAUAGGACCUCGGUUCUAUUUUGUUGGUUUUCGGAACCCCGAGGUAAUGAUUAAUAGGAACUGAUGGGGGCAUUCGUAUUGCGACGUUAGAGGUAAAUGCUUUCGCUUCUGUCCGUCUUGCGACGGUCCAAGAAAUUUCACCAAAAAUGUUUUCAUUGAUCAAGAACGAAAGUUAGAGGUUCGANGGCGAUCAGAUACNGCCCUAGUUCUAACCAUAAACGAUGCCAGCUAGCGAUCNGCCGACGUUCCUCCGAUGACUCGGCGGGCAGCUUCCGGGAAACCAAAGCUUUUGGGUUCCGGGGGAAGUAUGGUUGCAAAGCUGAAACUUAAAGGAAUUGACGGAAGGGCACCACCAGGAGUGGGGCCUGCGGCUUAAUUUGACUCAACACGGGACACCUCAUCAGGCCCGGACACCGGAAGGAUUGACAGAUUGAGAGCUCUUUCUUGAUUCGGUGGGUUGUGGUGCAUGGCCGUUCUUAGUUCGUGGAGCGAUUCGUCUGGUUAAUUCCGAUAACGAACGAGACUC
rnacentral:rRNA from 1 species